rnacentral:lncRNA from 1 species
UCUCCUCAUUCAUUACCAAUUUAAAAUUCACACACACAUCAGGAGGGUUCUAACCAACAAAGGAAAAAUAAAAUUAACACAAACAAUAAAUUGUUCCUAAAGAGGAGGAAUACUAAGAACAACCACAAAAGUCUUUCCCACUAAGUAAGUGAAGCAGGCUCAGAUGACAAGCGAGAUUCAGCCAUCAUAGGCCAGCUUUCAAUGUCGGGUUUAAAAAUAGGCUCCUCAAGGAAGUCGCAGAAAAUUACUUCCAAUUCUUUUUUGGAUCGAUCAGGCAUAACGGAGAAGAUUGUGAUGAGCCUCGUACCGAGUCGUGUGGGAUUAUCAACAAUAGCUUGCUGAAAGUAAAGGAACCUUUCAUCUUCUUCCGUUUCAAAAGAAAUUUAUCGAUCUGUGAGGCUUGCAACUAGAACAAACAAGAAUUAAGCACAGAAGAAACAAAAACAGACAAACCAGUCAAAUAAGAAAUUACUAACUAAAAUAGUAUGAUUUAAGGUUUGUACCUCCAGAAUGUUUCAAUUUCGC